rnacentral:rRNA from 1 species
AAUGGAGGAAACUCUGAUGCAGCGACGCCGCGUGAGGGAAGAAGCUUUUCGGAUUGUACACCUCUGUCUUCGGGGACGAUAAUGACGGUACCCGAGGAGGCAGCUACGGCUAACUACGUGCCAGCAGCCGCGGUAAUACGUCGGUGGCAAGCGCUGUCCGAAAUUACUGGGUGUAAAGGGAGCGUAGGCGGUUUGGUAAGUUGAGUGUGAAAUCUACCGGCUUAACUGGUAGGCUGCGCUCAAAACUACCAAACUUGAGUGAAGUAGAGGCAGGCUGAAUUCCCGGUGUAGCGGUGGAAUGCGUAGAUAUCGGGAGGAACACCAGUGGCGAAGGCGGCCUGCUGGGCUUUUACUGACGCUGAGGCUCGAAAUCAUGGGGAGCAAA